UAUACGAGUAAACAUCUGACUGUGAGGAAGUGCGUGACGGUGUUGUAACUUGGGCAGUUUGGUUCAGCUUCUUUGUGUUUCAAGCACUUCUAAAAGGUUAGAAAUACGUUCAUCGCAGUUAUGAUUUGGCGAUCUCUGAUGAAUCCAUUGAAACACAACAUCAGCAGUGCAGAAAAGAACAUUAGAAUUGUUAGUGUGAUCGAAGUGUAAGAUACGAUGAAGCAGUGCUGCAGGGCCACCAGGUGAAACGAAAACACGACAUCUCAUAGGGGAACGGUUUAUAGUGCAGUUUCGGAGGAACAUUCUACCUCCAUGUUUAGGGUUGAAGGCAGUAAGUUCCUUCGAAAAAGUCCGUACGGCGUUACAUCCCAGAGGACCAACAUCGAAGUGUUCACUGUCGUAAAAAGCAAAAAUCUCAAUAACAGGCUCUGAAUAAAGAGGACACAUCAUAGAUGUGGUUAUAACGCGGCUGUAGGAACGUCCCUAGGCAUUCGAAAUGUUGAAUUCGGCUUGGCAAGUAGAAGACAGCUAGCACAUUGCGACACGACCGUCUGGAUGCUGUCAGACGAACACGCCAGCAGCUGCUGUCCUGAGUGGUUAGGAUUCUGGUGGCUGUCCGCGGCAAAGUGCCGCACGGCUCUCCGUGUGACAAGAGGGCUCACAGAAACAAGAAAGGAAGGAAGGAAGGAAGGAAGGAAGGAGACGGCAAAGCCACUCUUCGUUUCACAUGUACAAAAGCCUGUCUUAAACGAGAUAUAUAAAUAUAUUCUCAAUUGUCUCUUUCAUCGAAGCUUAGUAAUACGCGGUUCAAUACACUGGGAAGUCAUGUUAAAAAUGUAAAUGAACUUGAUUAAUAUGUACUUUGGGUAUGUUACUUGUCUCAAGUGAAUGAAUGAUAAAUUAUUUUAGUAUCUUGUGAUGUGUAUAAGCACUUUUGGCACAACAUAUUAUUUUAAAUUAAUCGUUCGUGAAUUUUUAAUAUCUGAAAUUUGUCUUUGUUAUUUGACGAAGCCCAAGAUAUUAAUACAGUAGUGCACGUUGUCUCACUGACGGUGACUUUCCUUCAGAAUUUUAUUAUUUUAUUUAUUUGAAAUGUUGGCUGAAGCUCACAGCAAACUGUUAGACGUUAUUAAGGGAAAUGGUCUGUAAAUAUACACAAAAAAUGAUGUAGCUUCUUAUUCAUGGCCUGUAACCAGAAUCUAUGGCACAGUUACAGCAUAAUUUACUUACGGAUACCAUAUAACCCCGUGGAAAAUGAGAUAAAAUUCAAAUACUUACGAACGACAGGAACAAUUUAAAAUUAUAUGGAAACAUGAAUAAGACCAGAUUACACUCGGAAAAUGUUUGCUGCCACAAAUUUUAGAAUCCUUCAUCUCCCAUAAUUCUGUCAAAUGAUUAUAGAUUAAAAUAUAGGAUACAAACAUAUAAUUUUAUCUAUUGUUUUGUAUGGUUUUGAUACUUGGCAUUUCGGCCUAAACGAAGAACAUAAACUGAGGGUCUUUGAAUAUAUUGUGUUGAGAAAGAAUGAGUCUGAGUGAGGAAAAGUAUUAGAAACACCAUAAUUUGUACUUUUCACCAAACAUUAUUUGAGCGAUCAAAUGAAAGAGGAUUACGUAGGCGGGGUGUGUAGUAAACACGAUGAAAAUGAGACAAUUUAGUCUGAAAUUCCAUCGGAAUUUCAAAAACUCACAGCUGGUCUGAGUUCGCAAAACUGAAGGAAAGACAUCCAGCUUUUGUCUUCAUUAAAAUAUUGUUCUUAAUAUUCUCAUGUAUAAAUUACAGAUCAUUCUCUAAUAAUAUCUGAAAUAUAGCUUAAUUUCAAUGUGUAUAAAUGUAAAUAAAUUUAACUUCUAAUAUAAAUUAUUAAAACGUUUAACAAUCGACUUCAUAAUUGAUUUCUAAGUACAAAUAAUAGAAUACUUAGCAAGAAACAACUUCUAAAGCGGCUCUCUGCUUUCAACAGACAAGAUAAUGGAACGAAAAUCACUUCCUUUUAUAUAUUCAAGACGUGCGCUUUUCAAUACGAAUACAGAGAAUUGAUUCUAUUCAUGCUGUGACAAAGUACAGUUUGUUAACAACCAGGCUCUUGCCACUUCAAAGGAAAGGUUUCACAAUAGCUUUCAAAAACGUAUUUCACAGCGUUACCACGCGUCUGCGGCAUUGAAACGGCUUCUUAAAACUUAAAAUUGUCUUUGGCUUAUUCAGAGUUUCAAUCGCAAAUAACAUUCAAGGAAUAAAAGUAGUUAAAUCAUAUAAUAAGUACAAUAUUUUUUUACAGUGUGUUUCAAAGUAGAAAUUCAACGCGGAAAAAGACACAAUUAAACGGAAUGAAUAAUGGUUUGGUGCUGACAGUUUGAAAGGAAAAAAGGCUUUCGUAUAUCGAAAUGCCAGUUUAGUUGAAGUGAAUAAUACGUAACUAUCUCACUAAUGAACUGGUCAACUGGAUAACUAA